CUAUUUCAAAUUGCUCAUUUGUGGUUCCUGGGGAGAUUUCAGAAGACAUGUAUUUUAACUCACCAAGUUCUUUUUGUAACUCUACAGAGCUUCCUCAGGUAGUCUACAUAGCUCCAUUGAAUUCAGUCCCUCUUGGCUAAGAAACAGCUGAAUUUGACAAGGCUUGCACAGUGGGCAUCCUCAGAUCAACAGAUGUUGUUCUUCAUCUGGAUGAAAUCUGAUUGUGGAUGCUUGUCUCCAUGCAUAAUGAUCCAGAGCUAAAAGGAUGAAAAUGGCUCUCAAAGCAAAGAAAACACAUUCUGAAUCUUUACUGUAAAUUAUACACUAUACAAAAAUCAGUCCAAAUUGUUCACACCCUUGGACAAUUACAAUAUUAUUAUAUUCACCAUGCUGAGCAUGUUGCAAUUACAAUGUUUAGCAGCAGUUUGCUUGCCCUGAAUGAACCCUAAGGGAGAAAUGUAAGCUUUACCGAACAAAAAAUAAAAGCAGAUGUUGG